UGGCUCAGGACGAACGUUGGCGGCGUGCUUAAUACAUGCAAGUCGAACGAGAAAGCUUCCUUCGGGAGGUGAGUAGAGUGGCGAACGGGUGAGUAACGCGUAGGUAAUCUAUCCUUGAGUUCGAGAUAACCCCGGGAAACUGGGGCUAAUACCGGAUGAAGCAGAGAUGUUAAAGGGGGGCAACUUCCGCUUGAGGUUGAGCCUGCGUCCUGUCAGCUGGUUGGUGGUGUAACGGACUACCAAGGCGACGACGGGUAGCUGGUCUUAGAGGAUGAUCAGUCACACUGGCACUGAGACACGGGCCAGACUCCUACGGGAGGCAGCAGUAGGGAAUAUUGCGCAAUGGGGGAAACCCUGACGCAGCGACGCCGCGUGAGUGAUGACGGCCCUAUGGGUUGUAAAGCUCUGUAAGGAGGGAAGAACCGGUUGGUGUAACGGCCAGCUCUGACGGUACCUCCAAAGUAAGGACCGGCUAAAUACGUGCCAGCAGCCGCGGUAAUACGUAUGGUCCGAACGUUGUCCGGAAUGACUGGGCGUAAAGGGUGCGUAGGCGGAGAUACAAGUCAGGUGUGAAAUCCCCGGGCUCAACCUGGGAACGGCGCUUGAAACUGUAUUUCUAGAGUAUGUCAGAGGUAAACGGAAUUCCCGGAGUAGCGGUGAAAUGCGUAGAGAUCGGGAAGAACACCGGAGGCGAAGGCGGCUUACUGGGGCAUAACUGACGCUGAGGCACGAAAGCGUGGGGAGCGAACGGGAUUAGAUACCCCGGUAGUCCACGCUGUAAACGCUGGAUACUAGAUGUUGGGUGUUUUACGAAACACUCGGUGUCGUAGCUAACGCGAUAAGUAUCCCGCCUGGGGAGUACGGUCGCAAGAUUAAAACUCAAAGGAAUUGACGGGGGCCCGCACAAGCGGUGGAGCAUGUGGUUUAAUUCGAUGCAACGCGAAGAACCUUACCCGGACUUGACAUCCCUGGCUACACAUAGAGAUAUGUGGUAUCUCUUCGGAGAUUCAGGAGACAGGUGCUGCAUGGCUGUCGUCAGCUCGUGUUGUGAGAUGUUGGGUUAAGUCCCGCAACGAGCGCAACCCUUACUGUCAGUUGCCAGCAUUAAGUUGGGCACUCUGACGGGACUGCCCGGGUUAACCGGGAGGAAGGUGGGGAUGACGUCAAGUCCUCAUGGCCCUUAUGUCCGGGGCUACACACGUGCUACAAUGGUGCAGACAGAGGGAAGCGAGACGGUAACGUUAAGCGAAUCUCAGAAACUGUACCUCAGUUCGGAUUGGGGUCUGCAACUCGACCCUAUGAAGUUGGAAUCGCUAGUAAUCGCGGAACAGCAUGUCGCGGUGAAUAUGUUCCCGGGCCUUGUACACACCGCCCGUCACACCAUGGGAGUUGUUCUCACUGGAAGACGUUGAGCCAGCCUUCGGGAGGCAGGCGUCAAUGGUGGGG
rnacentral:rRNA from 1 species